CAGAAAACGAUAGCAACGAUUUCGUAUGUUAUAUAAGUGAUGAACGUCACAUCACCAUUAGAGAUUCCGGAGCCCCGGUGAUUUACAAAGGAAAAUUGGUAGCUGUUACCAUUGGGGGUGCAGAAUGUGACAGUGAUUAUGUUGGCAUUGGACUGAAAAUGAGUUGUUAUUGCUCAUGGAUUGCCAAUAAUUUGCCAAACGGAAAUACUAAUCUGAAGUGCUGCAGAAACUGUUGCGAUAUCAAACACGAAAAAGAUUCGAUCGAUUUGAGGAACCAUAAAAAUAUCUUUUUACGAAAAUAAAAUGUCACAAUAAUAUGUGGUAGCAUUCGGACUUGAUAUUUUUUUUCGUAUGCAAUUAAAAACAUCACGGCAUAUCCCUUAA